UACGAAGGGUGCAAGCGUUACUCGGAAUUACUGGGCGUAAAGCGUGCGUAGGUGGUUUGUUAAGUCUGCUGUGAAAGCCCCGGGCUCAACCUGGGAAUGGCAGUGGAUACUGGCGAGCUAGAGUGUGUCAGAGGAUGGUGGAAUUCCCGGUGUAGCGGUGAAAUGCGUAGAGAUCGGGAGGAACAUCAGUGGCGAAGGCGACUACCUGGCCUGUUCUUGACGCUGAGGCGCGAAAGCUAGGGGAGCAAACGGG
rnacentral:rRNA from 1 species